GACGAACGCUGGCGGCGCGCCUAAUACAUGCAAGUCGAACGGGCAGUCUUCGGACUGUCAGUGGCGGACGGGUGAGUAACACGUGGGUGACCUGCCCUGUAGUGGGGAAUAACUCUGGGAAACCAGGGCUAAUACCGCAUAUGCUUGGUGUUUCGAUAGAUCAAGUAAAGAGAAAUCGCUACAGGAGGGGCCUGCGCCGGAUUAGCUAGUCGGUGGGGUAACGGCUUACCGAGGCACGAUCCGUAGCUGGUCUGAGAGGACGACCAGCCACACUGGGACUGAGACACGGCCCAGACUCCUACGGGAGGCAGCAGUAAGGAAUAUUCCACAAUGGACGAAAGUCUGAUGGAGCGACGCCGCGUGAGCGAAAGAAGCCCCUUCGGGGUGUAAAACUCUUCGACGGGGACGAUAAUGACGGUACCCGUAGAAGAAGCUCCGCUAAC
rnacentral:rRNA from 1 species